rnacentral:misc_RNA from 1 species
CAACCCUCGAACCCCUACGGGGGAUCGGUGUUGGGGACCGGCCCCGCCCCGCAGCGGGCAGCCGCCCCCGAAAUGAAGUGGCGGUCACGUCGCGACCUCCUCUGCGUAGUAGCUUUUGAAACCUCGCAUCGGAGCGCGGCGCGGCCACGCCGUUAAACCCCCAACUUCUGAAA